GAUGAAGAACGCAGCAAAAUGCGAUAAGUAAUGUGAAUUGCAGAAUUCAGUGAAUCAUCGAAUCUUUGAACGCACAUUGCGCCCGCUGGUAUUCCGGCGGGCAUGCCUGUUCGAGCGUCAUUUCAACCCUCAAGCCCCCGGGUUUGGUGUUGGGGAUCGGCUCUGCCCUUCUGGGCGGUGCCGCCCCCGAAAUACAUUGGCGGUCUCGCUGCAGCCUCCAUUGCGUAGUAGCUAACACCUCGCAACUGGAACGCGGCGCGGCCAUGCCGUAAAACCCCAACUUCUGAAUGUUGACCUCGGAUCAGGUAGGAAUACCCGCUGAACUUAAGCAUAUCAAUAAGCGGAGA
rnacentral:misc_RNA from 1 species